UACGAAGGGGGCUAGCGUUGCUCGGAAUCACUGGGCGUAAAGCGCACGUAGGCGGACUCUUAAGUCGGUGGUGAAAUCCCGGGGCUCAACCUCGGAACUGCCUUUGAUACUGGAGAUCUUGAGUCCGGAAGAGGUAAGUGGAACUGCGAGUGUAGAGGUGAAAUUCGUAGAUAUUCGCAAGAACACCAGUGGCGAAGGCGGCUUACUGGUCCGGAACUGACGCUGAGGUGCGAAAGCGUGGGGAGCAAACAGG
rnacentral:rRNA from 1 species